UUUCCGUAGGUGAACCUGCGGAAGGAUCAUUCACAAGUAGUGUAUCUUGGCACUCUUUCAGUUCAUAUCUACCUCGUGUGCAAUGUUGUCGUGUAGUGCGGAUGCUUCUCAUUUGUGUUACAAGAUGUAAAUAUCAACUCUUGUUUUUUAUAACUGUGUCUAGAGACUUUUUGAAAACUUAAUUUAAAGACAACUUUCAACAAUUGUUCUUUUUGCCCUCGCAACGAUGAAGAACGCAGCAGAUCGAAACACGCCACGUCUUAACUCCACUCAUUUCGC
rnacentral:misc_RNA from 1 species